AUGGCUUGCCGGUGAUCUCCGUACGUCUGCCGUCCCGACGAGAACGCUGCCAGUUCACCCUCAAACCCUUGAGCGACACGGUGGGUGUUCUCCUUCAGCAGCUGCAGGCGGAGGACAGGGGCAUCGAUAGAGUCACCAUCUACUCUACAGAUGGAGCAAGAAUAGCGUCCUCUACAGGGAUUGACAUUUUACUUAUGGACAGCUUUAAGCUAGUCAUUAAUGACACAACAUACGUGGUGCAGCCGCCUAGGAGAGAUCUGCUACCGCACGAGGAAGCAGAACGACUGAACGAUGUCAAGCUCUUGGUGCAGCAGCUGUACACCACCCUGCGCAUAGAAGAUCAUCAGCUCACCAAAGAGAGAGAGCUGAUUGGACGACUGGAGGACCUCAACUCUCAGAUCCAGCCCUUGGA